GUCGUGUUUUAGUCCACAGAGACAACCAGCUUCACUUAUAGAAGAACAGAUGGGAUGUGGGUGCCCAUGAGAAUGCAGCUCAUACUAUACUAAAAUAAUGUGACAUUUUACCAUGGGGUGGCACGAUGGUACACAGAGCACCAUAAUCACUACAGCUAUAUAGUUAUGGUGCUCAAAAUGAUCUUCCAUAGAGCACUUUAUGCACCAUGUAAAGCACUAGUCACUUUUUAAAUAAAUAUUGUAUCACUUACU